rnacentral:rRNA from 1 species
CCCUUAGAUGUUCUGGGCCGCACGCGCGCUACACUGACGAAUUCAACGAGUUUAUAACCUUUGCUGGGAGGCAUGGGUAAUCUUGUGAACGUUCGUCGUGAUGGGGAUAGAUUAUUGCAAUUGUUAAUCUUCAACGAGGAAUUCCUAGUAAACGCAAGUCAUCAGCUUGCAUUGAUUACGUCCCUGCCCUUUGUACACACCGCCCGUCGCACCUACCGAUUGAAUGGUCCGGUGAAUUCUUCGGACUGCGGCUUUGACUCGAUUUCGGUCGAGGCGUUGCUGCGGGAAGUUGAUUAAACCUUACCAUUUAGAGGAAGGUGAAGUCGUAACA